rnacentral:rRNA from 1 species
GACGAACGCUGGCGGCGUGCCUAAUACAUGCAAGUAGAACGCUGAAGGAGGAGCUUGCUUCUCUGGAUGAGUUGCGAACGGGUGAGUAACGCGUAGGUAACCUGCCUGGUAGCGGGGGAUAACUAUUGGAAACGAUAGCUAAUACCGCAUAAGAGUAGAUGUUGCAUGACAUUUGCUUAAAAGGUGCAAUUGCAUCACUACCAGAUGGACCUGCGUUGUAUUAGCUAGUUGGUGGGGUAACGGCUUACCAAGGCGACGAUACAUAGCCGACCUGAGAGGGUGAUCGGCCACACUGGGACUGAGACACGGCCCAGACUCCUACGGGAGGCAGCAGUAGGGAAUCUUCGGCAAUGGACGGAAGUCUGACCGAGCAACGCCGCGUGAGUGAAGAAGGUUUUCGGAUCGUAAAGCUCUGUUGUAGGAGAAGAACGAGUGUGAGAGUGGAAAGUUCACACUGUGACGGUAUCUUACCAGAAAGGGACGGCUAACUACGUG